CACGUAGGGCGCAAGCGUUGUCCGGAAUUAUUGGGCGUAAAGAGCUCGUAGGCGGUCUGUUGCGUCCGCUGUGAAAACUCGGGGCUUAACCCCGAGCCUGCAGUGGAUACGGGCAGACUAGAGGUAGGUAGGGGAGAAUGGAAUUCCCGGUGUAGCGGUGAAAUGCGUAGAUAUCGGGAGGAACUCCUGUGGCGAAAGCGGCUCACUGGACCACAACUGACGCUGAGGCGCGAAAGCUAGGGGAGCAAACAGG
rnacentral:rRNA from 1 species